UGGGGAAUAUUGCACAAUGGGCGAAAGCCUGAUGCAGCAACGCCGCGUGAGGGAAGACGGUUUUCGGAUUGUAAACCUCUGUCUUCGGUGACGAAAAAUGACGGUAGCCGAGGAGGAAGCCACGGCUAACUACGUGCCAGCAGCCGCGGUAAUACGUAGGUGGCGAGCGUUAUCCGGAAUUACUGGGUGUAAAGGGAGCGCAGGCGGGGCGACAAGUCAGCUGUGAAAACUAUGGGCUUAACUCAUAGACUGCAGUUGAAACUGUUGCUCUUGAGUGGAGUAGAGGCAAGCGGAAUUCCGAGUGUAGCGGUGAAAUGCGUAGAUAUUCGGAGGAACACCAGUGGCGAAGGCGGCUUGCUGGGCUCUAACUGACGCUGAGGCUCGAAAGUGUGGGGAGCGAACAGG
rnacentral:rRNA from 1 species